rnacentral:rRNA from 1 species
GACGAACCGUGCGAACGUUAUUCGGAAUCACUGGGCUUAAAGCGCGUGUAGGCGGGCCGCCGCGUCGGCUGCUGAAAUCCCCCGGCUCAACCGGGGAACGGGCACCGAUACGGGCGGCCUGGAGGGGGGUAGGGGGGCCUGGAACGUUCCGGUGGAGCGGUGAAAUGCGUAGAUAUCGAGAGGAACACCUGCGGCGAAGGCGGGUUGCUGGGCUGACACGUGACGCUGAGGCGCGAAAGCUAGGGGAGCGAACGGG